rfam:Triticum urartu cultivar G1812 contig616416, whole genome shotgun sequence.
CAAGUACUCCCUCCGUCCGGAAUUACUUGUUUCGGAAAUAAAUGUAUCUAGAACUAAAAUACAUCUAGAUACAUCUAUUUUUUAUGACAAGUAAUUCCGAACGGAGGGAGUAGAGU